rnacentral:rRNA from 1 species
GAUGAACGCUGGCGGCGUGCCUAACACAUGCAAGUCGAGCGAUUUACUUCGGUAAAGAGCGGCGGACGGGUGCGUAACGCGUGGGUAACCUGCCCUGUACACACGGAUAACAUACCGAAAGGUAUGCUAAUACGAGAUAAUAUGCUUUUAUCGCAUGGUAGAAGUAUCAAAGCUUUUGCGGUACAGGAUGGACCCGCGUCCGAUUAGCUAGUUGGUGAGGUAACGGCUCACCAAGGCGACGAUCAGUAGCCGACCUGAGAGGGUGAUCGGCCACAUUGGAACUGAGACACGGUCCAAACUCCUACGGGAGGCAGCAGUGGGGAAUAUUGCACAAUGGGCGAAAGCCUGAUGCAGCAACGCCGCGUGAGCGAUGAAGGCCUUCGGGUCGUAAAGCUCUGUCCUCAAGGAAGAUAAUGACGGUACUUGAGGAGGAAGCCCCGGCUAACUACGUG